UAUUCUCUGGAAGGGGAUAAGGGACAUGACUCAGCACUGGAUCUAAUCCAAAACUGGGUACCCCCUAAAUAUUAUCCUGAAAGUAACUACAAAUUCUGGGGGGAAAAAUCUAAACAACAACCACAAGAGGACUCCAGUGACUGAACCAAAGCAAGCAGAAUUUGGACAUGAGGAAAAUGCUGAAAAUUAUGAACACUCACUGAAGCAGGACUUUUCCACACAAUGACCUGAUGAAUUCUGAGCCUUAUCUAAGAAGUUGUUUAUAAACUUUAUGCUGUUCCCUGAAGAGAGAAGAGCUAACAGCAUGAUGAUCGAAAUUAAAUUUUUAAGAAUGGA